UCUUUCCACAGACUGUGUGUGCAUAAUUGCAGGAUUACUGAACAAGUGAAUAGUCAACAGUCUUGAAAAGAGCAGAUGGAGGCACUGACUCGACGUGGAAAUCCAAACACCUCUCUGUGAAGUGU